rnacentral:rRNA from 1 species
CAGUCGCCGCGGGAAAACCAGCAGCCCAAGUGGUGGUCGCGUUUAUUGGGCCUAAAGCGCUCGUAGCCUGGCCGGUAAGUUCCCCGUGAAAUCGGGUCGCCCAACGAUUCGGCUUGCGGGGAAUACUGUCGGUCUUGGGGCCGGGAGACGCCGAGGGUACUCCGGGGGUAGCGGUGAAAUGCUGUAAUCCUCGGGGGACUACCAGUGGCGAAGGCGCUCGGCGAUAACGGGCCUGACGGUGAGGGGCGAAAGCUGGGGGCGCGAACGGGAUUAGAUACCCGGGUAGUCCCUGUCUCUUAUA